rnacentral:rRNA from 1 species
GAGACCUCAGGUCAGGCGGGACUACCCGCUGAAUUUAAGCAU